AUAAGUUCUCUUGAAGCUUUGCAAAAAACUCGAAGAGAAUAAGAAUCAUUUGAUAUUUAAUUAUGUUAAUUAAAGAAAGGGGUUUGCAUUUAUCAGAUUAAAUAGCUGGGUUUCAUUCCUCUUCAAUAGAGAGCAUUCCAAAAAGCCAUCGACGAUAGAUCCACAUUGUCGUUGUAGUCACUUUUGGCACAGUGCUUUUCUCAAGUUCUUUUCUUUCCAAGCCAUUUUUGGAGCACGCUGUUAAUUCCUUUGAAUGGAGGAGGAAGACAUCAAGUAGUAGACUAGUAGGAGAAAAAGAGGAGGAAUUCUCAGUUUCAUUUCCCGGAGAGCUCGGAAUGAAGAUCCACAUUGCCAUCGUCGAGAAGUGAAGAACAAUGUGUAGUGAAUGAGAAGAACCAAAGUUAGGUGGAGCAGCGAAGGAUACGAAAACAAACGCAGUGAAGGACUACUGGAUCAAAUGUAGUUACCUACUUAGUUAUGGGAAAACAAAAGCAAUAAUGUGCUCGUAAAAAUGCCAUAUGGAUUGACCUUGCACCCAGAUUCAGAAAAUGCUGCUAUUUAGGAGAGUUAUGGUAUAUGAUACUUAUAUUUUUCUCCUGUCUCUUUUUUUGUGCAGGUUGAACAGAAACUUCUACAGGAAAAACAAUGCAGUUAUUUGCUUUUGUUCUUAUCCAAUAUCUUUUAAUUCAACGUACCAAUAUACUGUUGAACUUAUUUUAUUGCCUUUUAUUGUGAUGAUACAUCUUUACUUGCUCUAUCAAUUUUGGAAGAAAGUAUACACAAUUGUGAUAUGGUAAGUUCAAUAUUUUUUCUUAAUAAUAGGUAAUUGAAACUCUUUGAUGCUUUAUGAGAUUAUUGACUGU